CGAGUUUGCUCUUCUUGGUCACGACCCUUGGUUCCUGUGUUGGCUUCCCGUUGUAUGGAAUAAUUCGUGAGUCAGCCCCGCACCUGUCCUUGUUGUGGCUUUGCGGCUCCGAUGCGGACCUCGAAAGCAGUCCCUGCGUCUCGGGCAUGUCCUCUGACUUUUGUCGUGGCUGUCUCGGUCCACAGGACAACUGCUCGUUCUCCCGGAUGUGGAAAAUUAAAAGGGCGUGGGGGGGUCUCGGCCUCCGGCUGCUCCAAUUUAGUCCCUCGAUAGGAAUGACACUCGCUGCCCCGUCGAUGGCCUGCGGCAUCGAUGCGGGUCCGAAGUCGAGAAAGAAUGCUACCUGG
rnacentral:misc_RNA from 1 species